CAACAACAUACACCACCAGACACAGAGAUAACGACCUACAGAAGAGAAGGAGACAGAUAUAUCAAAUGGGAGCCCACACGCAAGCUUACGUAAGUCGAGGAGGAUAAGCUUGUAUCCUGAUCAAAAGAGAUGAAGGUCAUGUGUUCUGGAACGUUCUUCUUCAGAGAAAGAAGUCUCAGCAGCAGCAGCUCUCACCUCUCCUACAGUGGUGACUUUUUUGACAACCAUCUGUCCGUCUUGCUGAACCAUGUGACACCGUCUGUCCAGCAUGUGUUCCUGAAGCUGAGAGUAGGAUCGAUGGGAAGUUAAUGAAACAAGACAGCACAUGAAAUAAGCAAGUUGAUAAAAGGACUAAACAUUACAGUAAACACUCCUGUUAAACUGCUAUCAACUUCUUUAUACUCAAAUGAAAGGGAACAUAAUUUCAACUGGCUUACAUUGACAUACUCAUGAUGAUCUUGCUCAAGUGUUUCUAGACUCGUGGACAGGUAUGCUGUUUGGAAAGAUGUAAAGCCAUGUUAAAACAGAUUACAAAACCAGUAGAAUACAGACUCUCCUAUCCCAAGCAUCUGUCUUUCACCUGUUAUAGCUGUUCCACAGGGUGUGUUAUCAAUAGCUCCGUGGCUGUGAGCAUGCACCAGAAAGCAUGACUGCUCCCCUCGAGAGACCCGCUCCACCGUCACAUUGAACUCCCCAAGCUCCCUGCCCCCCUCAGACACUGUCACCAGAGCGUCUGAGAACACACACCUCUGCAAAU